rnacentral:lncRNA from 10 species
GGAGGAUCCUUUGCUUCAGAUGAUCCUGGAUCAUGGAGCCAUGAAGAUGUUGAUAGUUGGAUAUCAGGAACAGAUGAUGUCAAUCACUAAUGGAUCACAGUUGACCAGGGGAAACUAAAAUCAUGGGAAACAAAACCAUGGAUAAGGCAGUACUACUGUAUACAGUUGGCCCUCCAUAGCCAUGCACUCUGCAUCAGUGGAUUCAAUCAGCCAUGGAUAAAAAAAUGUUUGAAAAGUUUAAAAGAAUGGUUGUUUCUGUACUGAACAGGUUAGGUGUUCAAGCUGUGUUAAAUCACAUCCCUGAUGUUUAUGUGGUCAGGAUAUGUGCCCUUGAGUGACCAAGCAGAAGUGAGUGGAACUUUCUACCAUGCUUUGUAUGCUAAGACUUCCAUCAACGAGUGAUUUUCUUGCUUUAAAUUUAAUGCUGACUCCAUUCAAGCAGAAAAUAGAUUUGAAGACAAUGAAAAAUGUGCCACUUUAUUUCCCUAAGGCCUUCUCUGCACAGUAGGCCUUGAACAAAAGUAAUUUCAUAAGGAGAGACAAACAACUAAGUGAAUCUUCAAAUACAAAAAUUUAUUGUUUUUUUUUGCUAAAUUAUUUUACUAAGUAUUGAUUUUCUGAUUCUUAUUAUCCAUCUUCAGAUCACAAGGCUUAGUGUAGAAUUUGCUUACACUGUGAUAACAAAAUUCAUAAUCAAAUGGGAAGAGGAAAUAAUCCUACCGUGGUGCAUGCCAUUUUUCUAUCCAAGGGAACCUCGUAAGUUGCUGAUAAGAAUAAAUUGCAGUGAAUGAGAAAAUCAUGAAAAGUCA